UACGAAGGUGGCAAGCGUUGUUCGGAUUUACUGGGCGUAAAGGGAGCGUAGGUGGUUAGGUAAGCCCUCCGGGAAAUCUUCAGGCUUAACCUGAAAAGGUCGGGGGGGACUGCCUAGCUAGAGGGCGGGAGAGGAGCGCGGAAUUCCCGGUGUAGCGGUGAAAUGCGUAGAGAUCGGGAGGAAGGCCGGUGGCGAAGGCGGCCGCUCUGGGACCGUUACGACGUGACACGUCGAUGGACGGUACGGAAACGGCGAAAGCGGGGAUGGGGUACAAAGCCAAAGGGAAGGUUA
rnacentral:rRNA from 1 species